rnacentral:rRNA from 1 species
GAUGAACGCUGGCGGCGUGCCUAAUACAUGCAAGUCGGGCGAACGGACGAGAAGCUUGCUUCUCUGAUGUUAGCGGCGGACGGGUGAGUAACACGUGGAUAACCUACCUAUAAGACUGGGAUAACUUCGGGAAACCGUAGCUAAUACCGGAUAAUAUUUUGAACCGCAUGGUUCAAAAGUGAAAGACGGUCUUGCUGUCACUUAUAUAUGGAUCCGCGCUGCAUUAGCUAGUUGGUAAGGUAACGGCUUACCAAGGCAACGAUGCAUAGCCGACCUGAGAGGGUGAUCGGCCACACGGGAACUGAGACACGGUCCAGACUCCUACGGGAGGCAGCAGUAGGGAAUCUUCCGCAAUGGGCGAAAGCCUGACGGAGCAACGCCGCGUGAGUGAUGAAGGUCUUCGGAUCGUAAAACUCUGUUAUUAGGGAAGAACAUAUGUGUAAGUAACUGUGCACAUCUUGACGGUACCUAAUCAGAAAGCCACGGCUAACUACGUG